rnacentral:rRNA from 1 species
AUUGAACGCUGGCGGCAUGCUUUACACAUGCAAGUCGAACGGCAGCGCGGGCUUCGGCCUGGCUGCGAGUGGCGAACGGGUGAGUAAUGCAUCGGAACGUGCCCAGUAGUGGGGGAUAGCCCGGCGAAAGCCGGAUUAAUACCGCAUACGAUCUGAGGGUGAAAGCGGGGGACCGAAAGGCCUCGCGCUAUUGGAGCGUCCGAUGUCGGGUUAGCUAGUUGGUGGGGUAAAGGCUUACCAAGGCGACGAUCCGUAGCUGGUCUGAGAGGACGCCCAGCCACACUGGGACUGAGACACGGCCCCGACUCCUACGGGAGGCAGCAGUGGGGAAUUUUGGAAAAUGGGGGCAACCCUGAUCCAGCCAUGCCGCGUGCGGGAAGAAGGCCUUCGGGUUGUAAACCGCUUUUGUUCGGGAAGAAAUCCUAUGGGCUAAUACCCCGGGGGGAUGACGGUACCGGAAGAAUAAGCACCGGCUAACUACGUG